rnacentral:rRNA from 1 species
GAUGAACGCUGGCGGCGUGCCUAAUACAUGCAAGUCGAGCGAACAGACGAGGAGCUUGCUCCUCUGACGUUAGCGGCGGACGGGUGAGUAACACGCGGAUAACCUACCUAUAAGACUGGGAUAACUUCGGGAAACCGGAGCUAAUACCGGAUAAUAUUUUGAACCGCAUGGUUCAAAAGUGAAAGACGGUCUUGCUGUCACUUAUAGAUGGAUCCGCGCUGCAUUAGCUAGUUGGUAAGGUAACGGCUUACCAAGGCAACGAUGCAUAGCCGACCUGAGAGGGUGAUCGGCCACACUGGAACUGAGACACGGUCCAGACUCCUACGGGAGGCAGCAGUAGGGAAUCUUCCGCAAUGGGCGAAAGCCUGACGGAGCAACGCCGCGUGAGUGAUGAAGGUCUUCGGAUCGUAAAACUCUGUUAUUAGGGAAGAACAUAUGUGUAAGUAACUGUGCACAUCCUGACGGUACCUAAUCAGAAAGCCACGGCUAACUACGUG